rnacentral:rRNA from 1 species
UACGUAGGGUGCGAGCGUUAAUCGGAAUUACUGGGCGUAAAGGGUGCGUAGGCGGCGCGGUAAGUCGGGUGUGAAAUCUCGGAGCUUAACUCCGAAACUGCAUUCGAUACUGCCGUGCUUGAGGACUGGAGAGGAGACUGGAAUUUACGGUGUAGCGGUGAAAUGCGCAGAUAUCGGGAGGAACACCAGUAGCGAAGGCGGCACUCUGGGCCGGUACUGGACGCUGAGGAGCGAAAGCGUGGGGAGCGAACAGG